UCGGUUUGUCGCAUUGAAAAGAAGCUUAAAAACACAAACAUCUAUGAUCUAUCUCCCACUUACAGUCCAAUUUUUUUUUUGACAAAUUCCUUCCACCCAACAAACGAAAUUCUGUAACACGUGCACUUAUCCAUCCGGUAAGUGUAGAUAUGUGACAUGAUCAUAUCUUGGUCCCCAUCUUGCAGGUAAAUGAGCCACCCCUUGUUAAAAAACUUGGAGACUCGGUUGAUCGUCGGCAGAGUCUGCAAUGUCACCACAAUAUGAUUUAAUGAACACAUGAGGGACAUAAUGGGACAAAUUCGAAUCAGAUCUAGAUUGAUAGGGUUGGGGCGGUGGGGGUAGUUGGGGCUCGUCUUCGGGAUGGAGUUUAG
rnacentral:lncRNA from 1 species